CGCGUUCUGCUAGCUGCAUGAUUUGCGGCUCGCUUUAGGUUAGUACGUGGCACGCAGUAGUGCGAGCAGGAAUUGUAGGGCUUACUACGGUCUGAUCGGUUUGUGACACCGACGCGUGUAUGCGAUCAACUUUUUACAUGUAUCGUUGAACAAAGCAUUGGAAUCUUAAAAAGACGGUGGAGAAUUUUAGGAUACGGCAAGAGAGAAAGGUAUCACCACGGUAGAGGAGGAGUAAGGUCACUAUCAGCUGAUGUUAUGUAAACAAAGGCACAGCUGAGAGGUGCCACUGUAGAAACACAAGUGUAGUCCGGGGUUGAGUUUCUAUUGGAAUCCAAGAUGGCCGACUUUUAACCAAGAUGGCUGACUUUUAACCGGAAAAUGGUUGCAUUGCGUUAUUUUCUUAAAAUUUAUGGAAAAGUUGUCCCAAAAAUAUUGGUUAUAUAUAAAAGUUUAAUAUAUUUUCUAAAGAAAAUCGUUUUAUUUUAAUAUAUAUUCUUAAAGAUGAGAACAAUAUGAGCAAAUACGUGAAAAAUUAAGUUUUUUAUUUAUGCCUCUUUUUAACUUACCACAGUAAUAAAUGUUCACCACAGAAAAAUGUUACGAACAAAUAAGCAACCAUGCCGAAUAGUGGGGUCCAGAUUAUGCUCAUUCACAGCCAUAUUUACAUUUUUGCAUCGUAACGAAGGUUUUUGCAAGACAAUUUGUUUGAGUUUAUUUCAUGGUUAAAUGAUUUACGAUGGUUUAUUUAGUUAUUUGAAUCUGGAAGAAGUGUGCAAAUUUCCCUUGAGACAAUCAAUAACAGAUCGAGUUGGGAUUUUAUUCCAAUAAAAAUACGGAAUAACUAAACAUGGCCUCGUUAAUAUUGCUGCGUAAUGGGUCAGGCGCUGUUCCAAUUUUAUGAUUUAAUAGAUUAAAAAGCGAUACGCGAUGCUGUGAAGUACUCAAAUGUAGUUCUCAAAUUUGUUGGUCGUGAAUUCGAGACAAAAUUUUAAGCUCAAUGACGUGCUCGUGGAAGGUGCACGUCGCAUUGCUAGAAUCAGCAAAGGAGCUGGUGUAGAACGCUAGUCCCAAGCCAAUGAGCUUUGUGCUUGGUGGAAGCAACUUUUUGAGGAGCAAAUACUACGGUGAGCACAUUCGGAUGUUGCACAAGCUAUUGUCAAUUGCGCUAAGGAUCCCGAUACUGCUGGUCAGGUUUAUCAAGCUGUUGGGUAGGUUUUGAGCAAUAUUGAAUUUACAUAAUGCUAAACACUCAACACCCACCUUCCACAUCAAAGCGUUACCAGUUGAACGAAUUAAUUGAAACCAGUCAAUCGUGUUAUGCGCAAAAAUUAAAAAAGCGUUGUAUCCUACCUUCCUAUUGAAAGCCAAGUCGUUUGGAUGUACAAUUGACCUCCAUGGAAGAGCAAAUACCAUGGAAAUUGCGACCUUAUCGGGCUGCGCAAUAUUAUGAUGCCGAAUUGGGAUAGUGGAAGGAACCAGCUCCACCAAAAUCGAUAGAAGAACUACGUAUGUUUGCAUAAAACUACUAUAAUGGCAACAACGCUAACAACAACAACCAAGCAAAUAUUAAACAACACUCAUCAAAUGAAAGUUGGUGGCGUUGGUGGCCACACAGCGAUUUAAAAAGAAAUAUUUGCAUCUAUGCGAAUUCGUCUUUGCAUCUAGUGAAUUAUGAAUAUGAAAGUAUAUAACUUAUCGCAGUUAUUUGUUUUUAUUAUUGCAUUUAGUUUUACUUUGUGAACAGCAAAACUAGCGGACCCUUUUUCUACCGAUUUUAUAAUUAUAACCCCAAAUAAAAAGUAAAUUGUAACUAAAUGUUUUAUUUCAGUAGAUUUUAUUUAUUGUUUCUUUUUUUACAUAUUUUUGUGCCUAUGUUGCAUUUUCCACACCACCAUGAGGUAUGCAACUAGGCGCGUUACCGAUUUUUUUUGGGUGUUCGGUUCCCCCGGAGGCCUAUUGGCACCCAUAUACCUUAAAACUAAACAACAAAUAUUUACAAAAAACAAUUCAUUUGGAAAAUAAAUAAAAAGUAAAAAACAAUUCAAAAACAAUGCAUAAUAAAAUAUAUAAAAAUACAUAUAUAAUAAUAUUUAAUAAUAUGUACAUAU